GACGAACGCUGGCGGCGUGCUUAACACAUGCAAGUCGAACGGAAAGGCCCUGCUUUUGUGGGGUGCUCGAGUGGCGAACGGGUGAGUAACACGUGAGUAACCUGCCCUUGACUUUGGGAUAACUUCAGGAAACUGGGGCUAAUACCGGAUAGGAGCUCCUGCUGCAUGGUGGGGGUUGGAAAGUUUCGGCGGUUGGGGAUGGACUCGCGGCUUAUCAGCUUGUUGGUGGGGUAGUGGCUUACCAAGGCUUUGACGGGUAGCCGGCCUGAGAGGGUGACCGGCCACAUUGGGACUGAGAUACGGCACAGACUCCUCCGGGAGGCAGAAGUGGGGAAUGUGGCACAAUGGGCGGAAGCCGGAUGCAGCAACGCCGCGUGCGGGAUGACGGCCUUCGGGUUGUAAACCGCUUUCGCCUGUGACGAAGCGUGAGUGACGGUAAUGGGUAAAGAAGCACCGGCUAACUACGUG
rnacentral:rRNA from 1 species